ACAGUAUCUUUCUAAGAAAGCCUCUCACCAGUGUGCUCAUCCAAUUGCUCUAAAGAAACCUCUUUCCAAGAAGCAAAUGAUUCAAAUGAUUUAAGAGAAUCCCAAACCCAAAACAACUCUUAUAAGGGAUGCAGAUAACAGAAAAAGAGUUAAAUAAAACAACAGUGGUUCCUGAAUUUAAAGGAAGGAUGCCCACUUCUCUCUCUCAAGAGGCAGAUGGUCAGCUGAAAAAUAAAAACAUUGCAUCAAUAGAACACUCCGAAUAAAAAAAUUGUAGCCA